GAUUACUGGGCGUAAGCGCACGCAGGCGGUCUGUCAAGUCGGAUGUGAAAUCCCCGGGACAACCUGGGAACUGCAUUCGAAACUGGCAGGCUAGAGUAAGUAGAGGGGGGUAGAAUUCCAGGUGUAGCGGUGAAAUGCGUAGAGAUCUGGAGGAAUACCGGUGGCCAAGGCGAGCCUUCCUGUGACAAAGACUGACGCUCAGUGUGCGAAAGCGUGGGGAGCAAACAGGAAAAGAUACCCUGGUAGUCCACGCCGUAAACGAUGUCAACUUGGAGGUUGUGCCCUUGAGGCCUGGCUUCCGGAGCUAACGCGUUAAGUCGACCGCCUGGGGAGUACGGCCGCAAGGUUAAAACUCAAAUGAAUUGACGGGGGCCCGCACAAGCGGUGGAGCAUGUGGUUUAAUUCGAUGCAACGCGAAGAACCUUACCUACUCUUGACAUCCAGAGAACUUUCCAGAGAUGGAUUGGUGCCUUCGGGAACUCUGAGACAGGUGCUGCAUGGCUGUCGUCAGCUCGUGUUGUGAAAUGUUGGGUUAAGUCCCGCAACGAGCGCAACCCUUAUCCUUUGUUGCCAGCGGGUCCGGCCGGGAACUCAAAAGAGACUGCCAGUGAUAAACUGGAAGAAGGGGGGGAUGACGUCAAGUCAUCAUGGGCCUUACGAGUAGGGCUACACACCUGCUACAAUGGCGCAUACAAAGAGAAGCGACCUCGCGAGAGCAAGCGGACCUCAUAAAGUGCGUCCUAAUCCGGAUUGGAGUCUGCAACUCCACU
rnacentral:rRNA from 1 species